rnacentral:rRNA from 1 species
CGUGAGGGAAAGGUGAAAAGAACCCCGGGAGGGGAGUGAAAGAGAACCUGAAACCAUAUGCCUACAAGAAGUCAGAGCCCGUUAAAGGGUGAUGGCGUGCCUUUUGUAGAAUGAACCGGCGAGUUACUGUAUGGAGCGAGGUUAAGCAGGAUAUGCGGAGCCGAAGCGAAAGCGAGUCUUAAGAGGGCGCGAGUUGCAUGCAGUAGACCCGAAACCGGGUGAUCUAGCCAUGACCAGGUUGAAGUUGGGGUAAAACCCGAUGGAGGACCGAACCGACCCCCGUUGAAACGUUGGCGGAUGAGUUGUGGCUAGGGGUGAAAUUCCAAUCGAACCCGGAGAUAGCUGGUUCUCCCCGAAAUAGCUUUAGGGCUAGCGUCGAGAGAAGAGUUGCGUGAAGGUAGAGCACUGAAUAUGUGAUGGCCCCAUCUCGGGGUACUGAGCAUAAUCAAACUGCGAAUGUCACGCCAACAUGCUCGGCAGUCAGACAGCGGGUGAUAAGGUCCGUUGUCAAGAGGGAAACAGCCCAGACCAUCAGCUAAGGUCCCAAAAUGUAUGCUAAGUGGAAAAGGAUGUGGAGAUGUACAGACAACUAGGAGGUUGGCUCAGAAGCAGCCAUCCUUUAAAGAGUGCGUAACAGCUCACUAGUCGAAUGACUCUGCGCCGAUAAUUUACCGGGGCUAAGCAUACUACCGAAGCUAUGGAUCCCAAGGGAUGGUAGGGGAGCGUUCCAUGAACGGAGAAGUACGACCGAAAGGACGUGUGGAGAUCAUGGAAGAGAGAAUGCCGGUGUGAGUAGCGGAACGUGGGUGAGAAUCCCACGCACCGAAAACCCAAGGUUUCCAGAGGAAGGUUCGUCCGCUCUGGGUAAGUCGGGACCUAAGGCGAGGCCGAAAGGCGUAGUCGAUGGACAACAGGUAGAGAUUCCUGUACCCGUAUAUAUGUGAAGGAAUGACGGAGAGAGGAAGCUGCAGCCAGCGGCUGGAAGAGCUGGUGCAAGCGAGAUAUCGGGAUGGCAGGCAAAUCCACCAUCCGAAACGAGAAGGCGUGAAGCGUACGGAAAGCUACGGCGAGUACGGAAGGCAGUGGAGGAACUUCCAAGAAAAGUUUCUAACGUUAAGUAUAUAUGGCCCGUACCGAAAAUGGACACACAUGGGUGAGGAGAGAAUCCUAAGGUGAGCGAGAGAACUAUAGCUAAGGAACUCUGCAAAAUGACUCCGUAACUUAGGGAGAAGGAGUGCUCAUAGAGAUAUGAGCCGCAGUGAAACGGCCCAAGCGACUGUUUACCAAAAACACAGCUCUCUGCUAAGCCGCAAGGCGAAGUAUAGGGGGUGACGCCUGCCCGGUGCUGGAAGGUUAAGGGGAGGGGUUAACGCAAGUGAAGCCCUGAACUGAAGCCCCAGUAAACGGCGGCCGUAACUAUAACGGUCCUAAGGUAGCGAAAUUCCUUGUCAGGUAAGUUCUGACCCGCACGAAAGGCGUAACGAUUUGGGCGCUGUCUCAGCUGUAGACUCGGUGAAGUCUUAGUACCUGUGAAGAUGCAGGUUACCCGCGACUAGACGGAAAGACCCCAUGGAGCUUCACUGCAGGUUGAUAUUGGGAUUUGAUGCAGCAUGUACAGGAUAGGUAGGAGGCAAAGAGAUGGAUACGCCAGUAUUCAAGGAGCCGCUGUUGGGAUACUACCCCUGUUGUAUUGGAUUUCUAACCGGACGACGUAGAGCCGUUGACGGGACAGUGUCAGUCGGGCAGUUUGACUGGGGCGGUCGCCUCCCAAAGAGUAACGGAGGCGCCCAAAGAUACCCUCAGCUUGGAUGGAAACCAAGCGCAGAGUGCAAAGGCAAAAGGGUGUUUGACUGCGAGACCUACAAGUCGAGCAGGGACGAAAGUCGGGCUUAGUGAUCCGGCGGUGCUGAAUGGAAAGGCCGUCGCUCAACGGAUAAAAGCUACCCUGGGGAUAACAGGCUGAUCUCCCCCAAGAGUUCACAUCGACGGGGAGGUUUGGCACCUCGAUGUCGGCUCAUCGCAUCCUGGAGCUGAAGUCGGUUCCAAGGGUUGGGCUGUUCGCCCAUUAAAGCGGUACGCGAGCUGGGUUCAGAACGUCGUGAGACAGUUCGGUCCCUAUCUGUCGUGGGCGCAGGAAAUUUGAGAAGAGCUGUCCUCAGUACGAGAGGACCGGGAUGGACGCAUCAAUGGUGGACCAGUUGUCACGCCAGUGGCAUAGCUGGGUAGCUAAAUGCGGAAGGGAUAAACGCUGAAGGCAUCUAAGUGUGAAACCCACUUCAAGAUGAGAUUUCCCAUUGCGCAAGCAAGUAAGACCCCUUAAAGACGAUAAGGUAGAUAGGUCAGGAGUGUAAGCAUGGUGACAUGUUAAGCGGACUGAUACUAAUAGGUCGAGGGCUUGACCG